ensembl:rRNA 5S_rRNA 5S ribosomal RNA
GUCUACGGCCAUGCCACCCUGAACACGCCUGAUUCCAUCUGAUCUUGGAAGCGAAAAGCAGGGUUGGACCUGGUUAGUACCUGGAUGGGAGACCACCUAGGGAGAUCAGGCACUGUAGGCA